CGAUAACAGAGGCGUGAUGGUCUUUCCGGUUCUGCCGGAAAGUGAAAAGGGAACACGAUAGGAGCCUUGCUCUCAUUCGUGGCUGCCCCCGCAACUGUGAGCGGUGAGCCGGAAAACAACAGCCACUGAUGCCAAACUUGGCAUCGGGAAGGUGUUUUCAAGGUUACGACCCGCGAGCCAGGAGACCUGCCAUUACGAAGUGUCGUCA
rnacentral:ncRNA from 2 species